AACUGUUGCUGGUUUGAAAAGUUGUCAAAAUGCGUUGCACUGUUAUUCAAUGCACGGAAUCCCCAAGUAGACUUGUUUGAUGUUUCAGGCAGAGAUGCAUUUGAACGCGUUCUGAUCAUGUUCUGCCGUGUUCAAGUUCAAACAAUUUGCUAUGUUUGAUCACAGGACUCUGUUCAUCGCGUGGCAACCGUGACCGUCAUUCGUUUUUCUCUUCCUGGCAGAUACAAGUAGGAUGCAAAUGCAGAUUCAAUUCAUCGGUCGUUCUAAUGAGAAAAUAAUUCUCGAAAAUCAAUGAUGUAAUAGUGAUCGAACAAUGGCGGUUCUCCAAACAUCUGGUGAAUUAUAUCGUCAACCCUUGACCAAUAUUCUAGAGUUUUCAUUGGCACAAAUAUCCGAUUGAUCAUUAAUGCGUAUAAUAAAUAUAACACGGAUCUUCAGAUAACAAGUAA